rnacentral:rRNA from 1 species
GAUGAACGCUGGCGGCGUGCCUAACACAUGCAAGUCGAGCGAAGCAUUUUAAAGGAAGUUUUCGGAUGGAAUUUGAAAUGACUGAGCGGGCGACGGGUGAAGGUAACGCGUGGGUAACCUGCCUCAUACAGGGGGAUAACAGUUAGAAAUGACUGCUAAUACCGCAUAAGCACACAGUACCGCAUGGUACGGUGUGAAAAACUCCGGUGGUAUGAGAUGGACCCGCGUCUGAUUAGCUAGUUGGCGGGGUAACGGCCCACCAAGGCGACGAUCAGUAGCCGGACUGAGAGGUUGAACGGCCACAUUGGGACUGAGACACGGCCCAG